rnacentral:rRNA from 1 species
UGGGGAAUAUUGCACAAUGGGCGCAAGCCUGAUGCAGCCAUGCCGCGUGUGUGAAGAAGGCCUUCGGGUUGUAAAGCACUUUCAGCGAGGAGGAAGGUGGUGAGCUUAAUACGCUCAUCAAUUGACGUUACUCGCAGAAGAAGCACCGGCUAACUCCGUGCCAGCAGCCGCGGUAAUACGGAGGGUGCAAGCGUUAAUCGGAAUUACUGGGCGUAAAGCGCACGCAGGCGGUUUGUUAAGUCAGAUGUGAAAUCCCCGGGCUCAACCUGGGAACUGCAUUUGAAACUGGCAAGCUAGAGUCUCGUAGAGGGGGGUAGAAUUCCAGGUGUAGCGGUGAAAUGCGUAGAGAUCUGGAGGAAUACCGGUGGCGAAGGCGGCCCCCCUGGACGAAGACUGACGCUCAGGUGCGAAAGCGUGGGGCAGCAAACAGGAUUAGAUACCCUGGUAGUCCACGCUGUAAACGAUGUCGAUUUGGAGGUUGUGCCCUGAGGCGUGGNUUCCGGAGCUAACGCGUUAAAUCGACCGCCUGGGGAGUACGGCCGCAAGGUUAAAACUCAAAUGAAUUGCGGGUCUAGCUGUUCC